rnacentral:lncRNA from 1 species
UGUGGAAGAUCCAUGUGUAGGUGGGUUUAUUUAGACGGCCUGUGCUGCAAUGUCUAUCGUGAAUUUGUGCUGAGUUAUCCAAUUUUUUCCCAAUAUGAUGUUGAUGCCUUCCAGUCCUAAAAUAAUAAGGUCGGUUUGGAAAACUUUUCUACCCAACUUGAGUGGAACACCACAAGUUAUUUGGUUGGAAGCAAUUUCACCACCAAGUGUUGAAAUCAUGUAAGACCCUUUGGUG